GUAAGUAGUUUCUAUUUUCUCUCUAGUCUGACAACCUACCAGUAUCUGUUAUUGUUUUGUAGAAGUUUACUCUGGGUUUUUUUGUCUUCACAAGACAAAGCAGUGUUCCACGCCCUUACCACAGACGCAUACACGUUGUGUUGUCGUGACUGGACAGCACAUAGUUGUGUUACGGAAAGAACUUUAAGCUGUAUCAAUGGCAUUAAGCCAGAUGGCGUGGUGCUACUGCCCCGUCUCGUUGGUCUGCGUUAAAAUAAAGCUUUACAGGUUUGGUCAGCGGACACCUGGGGUUAAAUGCGUAAGUUUGGUUGUCUCUCCAUUUUCCCCUUUAAAUGUAUGUUAUAUGUAUACCAUGUUCCCUGUGAAGUUUGUAUGUCUGUCACACAUGUCUGUUAUACACAUUUGUUAUUUAAAAGUAUCUAAGCAUCCUUUUCUUUUUCAUUAACCUUGUGUGGAGGCUAUCCUAAACAGGUCUUGCUUUGAAUGGUGUUAGUAAUCAUGUUUUUAAAACAAGUAUAUGCUUUGCAGUAUAUUUCCACAGGUCUACUGAAUGGAACACAUCAAGACUCAAUGAAUUUAGACUGACCACAGCAUACAAGACACUGCACCUGAAGACAGGCACCUAUCUCCCUGCAAUCACCCGACACUGAAUGUCUUGCAUCAAAUUUAAAAAAAACACACACUGUCAUAGUUUUUUCAAUGUUUGCUAUUGAAUUGUAUUUAAAUUCGUUCAGAUGUUGUUUAUCAUGUGUGUGCAUAUACAUCUGCACCUUAGUGUAAUUACUGCACUUGGUUUGGAAAAUGUAUUUAUUGCUAGCUCUACUGAUGGCUGUAAAGUACUCAGCUGUCAGUCAAAGUUCAGAGCAGUUAUGUGUCACUGUCAAGAUUAUGUCACUGAAUAAAUAGAUUGGUUUCAAAGACGUUAAUUGGGAACCUUUUUUAGAACCUAGUUUCUAUCACCAAUGUUUUCUAUACCUCUAAAACUGUUGACUGUUUGUAACUAACAUUACAAACAAAUUGCAAGGAAGGUUGCUCUUUUCUUCGCAAACAUAUUUUUUGUUUGCCAUUCUCGGAAACUAAUUUCAAUAACCUGUAGCUAGUAUGCAUAGGAGUUCAGGGGGCUUAGCAUUUCUAGGUUGCUGCAUUGAUGUGCUGUAUUGUUUUGGAUAUAUUUUGCAUUUGUGCAUAGUGUUACAGACAGUUAGUGUAGCAACUUCGUGACAUGAGGAGUAGACGUUCAAGGUAAGAGACGUGUUUAUUAAUUAAUUAAACCCGAUGCGACCAAGAUACGAUGUCAACAGGUUGACUACCAGGCUAAGCUAACGCAUCGUUUAGCUACGUUAGCUUGCUGCUAUGUAUUUUCCACGGUUGAAAAGUUCGGUGAACAAGUCGGUUGUUUGUUUAACCGUAUGACUUCGUAAAAAUUCGGUUAACAAAACAGCUGUGUAUUAAAACGUAUAACUUCACAGAAUUAAAAUAAAAAAAAUAAAACGAUCGUUUAAAAGUCAGGC
ensembl:lncRNA